rnacentral:lncRNA from 1 species
CUCUUAGUGAUAAGCAGACCCGCCUCAUCUUCUUCCUCUAUAUGGAUCUCCGGCUACUCACGUCUGACCCGAAUCCUUUGGCAUUCAUUCGCGAGAGGUGGUGCUUGCGCUCGUUCGCGCGGUGAUAGAGCUGGUGCCCGCCCGUGUGGGAGAUAAAGCUCACGACUACCGCAAGGCGGUGGUGCUUAUAACCAAUACUUUCUCCAUACCUGUAAAGAAAGAUAUUUUGGAUAAGAUUUAGGUCAAAUAUUGGAAAUAUAAAUCAUGAAUAACUUUUAGGUUAUUGAGUUUGGAAAUAUAAAAAUUAUCUGAAUAGAUUUAUCUUGAAAAAUACUUUCAUAAAAAUAUACAUAUACCACUUUUGAUAAAUAUUUUUAUAGAAACAUGGAGUCAAAGUUAGACUUUGAAGACCGUGUGGUCGUCCUAUAUGACUUUCUUUACGGAUAUGGAGGGAGUACGCAUCAUAAGGCUAUCUCCCAGAGGAGACCCAAACCCAAAAUAGGUCUCCAACACAAUAAAUAUAGCCUCAAACAGAGUACCUAUAUGGCUAUAUGGAAGACCUAUUUUGGAUAUCAGGAGAGGCAUAACCCAAAUAUGAGUAUCCUCUCUCUUCGAGACCCAUUUGCAUGAAGGAUUCUCUUUUGAGUUUUAUUGUUGGAGAAGAUUAAAAAUAGGUAUAUAACUUUUUUCCUGUAGCGCUAUUUUGGGUAAUUGUUGUUGGAGACACGGUAGUUGGACAAUUUUCGCAAAGGUGACGUGAAAAUUGUAGUAGCUAAACAUUAUUUUAUUGAAACUCUUGGGUGGAAGCCAUUUGGUUGGUUUUUGGUUAUUUGGAUGCAAAACUACAGCCAAAAGCCCAAGACCAAAAUUUUGACCGAGUUAUCCCACCAGUCCACGAGUGGUGACUCUGUGACUGACUGGCCAGACGGCACCCUAGCCACUAUCACCAGACUGUCUGUGAGUGUGUCCACGCUCCUGAGUCGCAACUCACAAGUCACAAAGCGAGCAAUACAAAAUCCCAUGCUGAGACUGAGAGCGAGCAGGCGGGCGGGCAUCGGCCGGUUGCGGCGGCAUCCUGCAUCCAUAGGACUCUCAGAUUCCCAUCUCGUCUUCUUAUCUCCACUUCUCCCUCCACACAUCCCCUCCUCCGUCGUCCUCUGUUUAUAAAACUCGCCAGGCGUCCAUCGCUUCCGCUUCGGCAUCAGCGACGGCCGCCACCACCGCUCCCCUCCCUCUCCUCCUCCUCCCACCGCGGCCAUUACCACAGCCUCGCCAGCAAGCCGGGAUGGCUGCACUCAAGGCGUCGUUCCGGGGGGAGCUCAGCGCCGUCUCCUUCCUCGACUCAAGCAGGGGACCUUUCGUCCAGCACAAAGGUUGGAUGGAUCUUUUCCUCUUUCGGUGCCUCCCUUUUCCCCCGAUCGGUGUAUGAGCUUAUCUUCUUGCUUUUCCGGCCUGAUGAUGCACUCGACUUUGCCCGUCCCGUGUAUUCUGGCCAGUUUGAUGCUUCUUGACCCCAUUCCUAUCGAUUCUGUUUCAUAUUUCUGGGUUCCAUUCCAAUCGAUUUGCGAUGUGUGUCGCCGUGCGAAUUUUUAUGUGUCGCUCUGCAACGACUAGGAGGUCUUUGUGCUGUCCUGUUGUUCAUCGUUCUUCCCACUUGGCGGCUAUGCCUCGUCUACCAUUAUGGGAAACACUACUAGUAUGGUUGGGCCCCGUCUCCGUGUAGAGUGCAUGGGAACUGCGAGCCUCGGAGGGUAUAGUCAUUGUAAAGUUGCAAACUCUGAUUCUAAUAACUGUUAUGAUUUUGACAUCCUAAAAGGCAGAAUUUUUCUGGUUCUCUGGGGGGAAAGUCAACACUGUAGUUCCUUUACUCUUCUGAGAUAAAACAUAGAAUUUUCUGCUAAGCGGGUUACAGGGCCGAGAUUUCCAGAAUGUUAUGCGGCCUUUUCUGUGUCUGGAAUCGCUUCUUACGUGUGUCUGGAAUCGCUUCUUUCGUCAUCACCUCACCUGGGUGAAUUAAAUUCCGAAAUAUAUAUGGGCCUCAACUUGCUGUUUGCUACUUCAGCCGUUGGAAUAUAUACUGUUCUUCGAAUAUAUUCCUCACAGGUUCCAAUUCAGUUUAUACUUUCUGGUGAUUUGAUAUGAUCCAGAGGUGCUGAGGUGGUCGCACCGUUGUCUUGUGACGCCCAGUUAUGUUAACUGGUCGGUGCACAUGGUAUUGAAGUUUACAUGAAUGUUUACAAAAUUGGUCAAAUCAGGUCAAUAAUUCAUGGUUUAAACUCGUCCACUUUAUGGACUAUAUCAGGCACGAUUGCAGUGGUCUUUCUUAGCCAUAGAGACUUAUUCUAGUGUAAAUUCUGGUUGCUAGUGUUGUUUUCUAAUCUUACUUUGAUCUCUCUCAUUGUAGUGGAUUUUACGUUUCAAAGGAAGGGCAAACGAGCUAUUUCACUGAGAAGGACAUGCUGUUCUAUGCAACAGGCUCCACCGCCAGCAUGGCCUGGGAGAGCUGUUGCUGAGCCUGACCGGAGGUCAUGGGAUGGCCCAAAGCCUAUCUCGAUUGUUGGAUCAACUGGUUCCAUAGGAACACAGGUAAAGGGAUUAAUCGAAGACUCAUGGAUGAAAUUUGUCAUUCCAUAACAUCGCUCUGUUAGCUGUGCAGAUAAUGUUGAUAGUUGAUAGAUCAAAGUUUAGCGAAUUGGUGCAUAUGCAUCUGUUUGGAACCAGUAGAAUUGGUAUAUUUUGCAUGCAGAUCAUUCGUAGUAGUUUGAUGUAAUAAUAUUUUCAUCCUUCUGUAACUUGUGGGCUUCAGGUUUCAAGUCUAAUCAACAUGUUGCUCAUAACAAUUUGUUUGAUGUUAAUUGACAUCUCUUACAUUUACCUUAUGAUACGUAUAAAACUAGAGACACUGAUAUUCUGCAGCACUAAUAUUCCAUCUUUUACAUAAUGCGAAGACAUUGGACAUUGUUGCUGAGAAUCCUGAUAAGUUCAGAGUUGUUGCUCUUGCUGCUGGAUCCAAUGUCACGCUUCUAGCUGAUCAGGUACAGUGAUGUUUUGAGUAGAUUCUUUUCCUUUCGCCCUUUUGUCAAUCUUGAAAGAGAAUUUUGCACUCAUUUGAUCAUUAAGCUUGUAAUACAAACUAUGCACUCAUUUGAGCAUUGUGGAUGUAAUUUACUACAGGUCAAAACAUUCAAACCUAAGUUGGUUGCUGUAAGAAACGAAGCAUUAGUUGAUGAACUAAAAGAAGCCUUAGCUGAUUGCGAAGAGAAGCCAGAAAUUAUUCCUGGGGAGCAAGGAGUCAUAGAAGUAAGGCUUUUCUUAUGAUCCUAUUUCUGCGAAUAACUAAAGGUUUGCUCUGAAAAUUUCUCAAAUAUUCAACUUUUGAGUAAUAGGUCGCUCGACACCCAGAUGCAGUUACAGUUGUCACAGGGAUAGUAGGGUGUGCAGGGCUGAAGGUAAUGCCCCUUCUAUUUAGCAUAUUGCUCUUUGUGCUUUCCUUUAUGUUGGGUGUUCCAAGAAUCUAAUGCUUGUGUAUAAAUGAUAUUUAUAUGCCUAUAUGUAAUAUUUUCCUGUUGUUAGGUCAUAAAUUUAUCUGCACUAAGCUGUGGUUCUAGGAAUCUUUUUUUAAGAAAACAGAAAGCUGUCGUUCUGAAUUCUGAUGUCAUUUGGCUGCAUAAAUCUUUCCUUGUGAACAUGCUUGUAUUUCAUGAAUCAUGGCAAAUAUAUAGUAAGAAAAAUUGUCUAUGAAUUUUAACUAUUUUGGGUUGCUAUAUUUAUACAGUUAGAAUGUGUUAAAAAGGAGUUCAGGUAAUUUUGCCACAAUAAUAUGUAUAGAAUGAAGAUAAAUCUUUACUUCAUUUCCAGACAUAGAUAGGCAUCUCCAAUUCGAAUUUGAUGCAAAAAAAAGCAAUUGGUAGUGGUAUAUAUGUCAUUGUCCUAUUGCCUGCCAUAGUGCCAUAUUUUGUAUCUUCUAAGAACCGAGUUCCAUGGCCCCCUAUUUUUAUAUAGUGCAGUAUCAGCCUAUCAAGAUAAGUGGAGGACCAUCAUCACUAGGUGGUGAUACUUUUAGAUUGCCAAGUAUUUUAAUAUUAUCUUUUUUAUUUCCAUAUUAAUUUGAACUUUAUGUAAAUGGGUGCAGUAUGGUGCACCCAAAUAAAUGAGCAAUUUUAUCAGUGAAUAUAGCUGACUUGGUAACUCUGUAUUGUUCUGUUAGCCUACAGUUGCUGCAAUCGAAGCUGGUAAAGACAUAGCAUUGGCAAACAAGGAGACACUUAUUGCAGGUGGUCCUUUUGUGCUUCCCCUUGCACACAAACACAAUGUGAAAAUUCUUCCUGCUGAUUCUGAGCACUCUGCAAUAUUUCAGGUAUCUCACAAAAUGUUUACUUGUUGCUGCAGCUAUCUUUUUUAUCAUUAUGCAUGUUUGCUGUAAGGUUGGGAAAGAUACAUACUGGCUUUGGGGAGAAAAUGGCAAUUUGACCAUCCUCAAAACUGGUGUUUAAACGAAAUAACAAUACUGAACUUGAAAUAAUGUGGCAAUGCAUUUUAUGUUUUCUGGCAUUCUUUGCUUAUUAGAGUCUGCUUCCCUUGUACCAGUGUAUACAAGGCUUGUCCAAAGGAGCACUUCGUCGCAUUAUUCUAACUGCAUCAGGUGGUGCUUUCAGGCAAGUCCAUCCCUUAUGUGUUAUAUGUACUUCUGGAAACAUACAAAUCCAUCUCAUAUCAUUUGAUCAUGACAGGGACUGGCCAGUUGACAGGCUGAAAGAUGUAAAAGUUGCUGACGCUUUAAAGCAUCCAAACUGGAAUAUGGGAAAGAAGAUCACAGUAGAUUCUGCUACUUUAUUCAACAAGGUGUCUUAGAGCUCCAUUUUGUUUAAAAAAAAUUAUUUAAUCCAUAUUUCAUUAUAUUAAACGCUAAAGUGACGAUUUGGUCUUGUAGGGUUUAGAAGUUAUUGAAGCGCAUUAUUUAUUUGGUGCUGAAUAUGAUGACAUUGAGAUUGUGAUCCACCCACAGUCUAUCAUACACUCUAUGGUUGAAACCCAGGUGAGCCCAAGGUCAUAUGCUUUACUAAAAAGCACAUGUUGAGAUAUUCUGCCCAGAUGUAGUGCUAAUCCUCCUAUGCUGCAUAUUUUCAUUUCCACCUCAUUCUCUUGUAUUAGUGCAUGCCAGCAUCUGAGCAGAUCUCAAGUUUAUGAUUGUUUCAGGUCGUUAUGCUACAUGCAGAAUUGUUUCUGUAAUGGCUUUACAUAUGGUUUAGUAUUGUCUUUAGCAUUCAUGUUCUUUUUUCCCAGGAUUCAUCUGUCCUAGCUCAAUUGGGUUGGCCGGAUAUGCGGAUACCAAUCUUAUACACCUUAUCGUGGCCAGAUAGAAUCUAUUGCUCUGAGGUCACAUGGCCCCGCCUUGAUCUUUGCAAGUAUGACAUCUUCACAACUCCUGUCUACUUUUGCAGUACAGCUGAUGCUUUUAUUUGGAAAUAACCUCCAAGGAUUCAAGUCUUAUUUUUCUUGAUUACAGUAUGGGAUUGUUCUAAUAAGCUACUGGUAUAUGAUGGCAAUACUUGAUAGAUCUGUAUGGGUCAGGGGCACCUGAGUCAGCUGUUGGUGUGUGCAUUUGUGAACGAAUCUGACUUGGGUUUUGAACCAGCAAAUAUGACAACCAUCUCAUAAUUUUUAGGAAACAAAUUUGUGACUGUACUUCAACUGAAUUUUCCGAACAGCUCAUCAAGCUUGGACCUUGACCUAAACUCAUUGCAAUUCUGGUGUCUUUUUGAAUAGUUAUAUGUAUGACUUGAGUUGGUUGACUAGCCCACUUCUAGUUUAGUAAUAACCAAGUAGUAACCAUGGUUAGGUUGCUAAACAUGAACAUGCUUCAUUAAGGAUGUUAAGAAAACAAAAACAUGUUAUGAAACUAAACUUCACACGAUCUCUUAAAUAGUAAGCAUUCCAUGUUAACAGUUUUUGAGCAUUCAGAUUUAAGUUCCAAUUGGUUAAUACAGGUUGGGUUCACUGACGUUCAAAGCUCCUGACAAUGUAAAAUACCCAUCAAUGGACCUAGCGUAUGCAGCUGGGCGGGCUGGGGGCACCAUGACAGGAGUUCUGAGUGCUGCUAAUGAGAAGGCCGUGGAGUUGUUCAUUGAUGAAAAGUACGAUUCUUUUUGCUUAUCAGCUUUUGCCUGCUUUAUUCUAGAUAGAUCAUUGCAUAUUUUAUGUCAUCUUUUGAUUUGGUUUGUGAAAUAUUCUGAAAAUUUUAAGGCCAGAUACGUUAUGCUAAUUGCUGCAAUGAAAAAAAAACUUUGGGCUAACCAAAGUCCAUGGACAUCUACUGCACUUUACUUUAGAAAAGUGAGUUGGGACGAGAAUGUUUGUCCUUAGAGAUAUUAUUCUCAAGCACCUUUUGAGCCUACAUUAUGGAUUAGAAUAGCUAUAGAAUCUUGAUUUAAACUAUCUUUCCAUGUUUAAAUACAAGUUAAAUAUGCUGAGGGUCCUAAAGCUUUUCCUGGAUUCUCAUCUAGGUCCAUGAACUCUCAAAGGGAAGGUUUGAGUGAAUGCACUACCAAGAGAGAACCUAGAGUGAACCUGGUGUGAACCCGAUCCUCACUUUGAGAGUUUAUUAUAGGCCUACGUGAGGAUCAGGGAAAAGUUUAGGGCACUGGUGCUUUUCACUCUUUUAAGUACUUUAUCUUAACAAUGGUCUGCCUGCCAAUAUGAUGGUUUGGUUAUUGGGAUAGUGUCGGUCAUAGACAAGGGUUUUUCUCUGCAUGAGAAGAUAUUGAUUUAUACACUCAACUUGUCGAGGUAAAGCACCAUGCUCCAGAAUUUGAUAGAGAAAACUUCAUCAUGGCACAAGCAUAUGCUUUACACAAUUAGUUCAACUAGGAGGAAGGUCUGCAACUACAGCCAGUUGUUCAUCAGAGGGAAAGAAAGAACUAAUUUGCAAUCAUCCGUUAUAUAUUGAUAUUCAUACAAAGGAAGUCAGUUGACCUUUUAGUUUGGUUUACAGGAUUAGCUACCUGGACAUAUUCAAGGUGGUGGAACUUACAUGUGACGCGCAUCGGAACGAGCUGGUAAGAAGUCCUUCACUCGAGGAGAUCAUCCAUUAUGAUCUGUGGGCGAGGAGAUAUGCAGCUAGCCUACAACCAUCUUCUGGCCUGAGCCCUGUCCCU